rnacentral:rRNA from 1 species
AGUAAUACGUGAGUAACCUGCCCUUGACUCUGGGAUAAGCCCGGGAAACUGGGUCUAAUACUGGAUGCUACAUGUCACCGCAUGGUGGUGUGUGGAAAGGGUUUACUGGUCUUGGAUGGGCUCACGGCCUAUCAGCUUGUUGGUGAGGUAAUGGCUCACCAAGGCGACGACGGGUAGCCGGCCUGAGAGGGUGACCGGCCACACUGGGACUGAGACACGGCCCAGACUCCUACGGGAGGCAGCAGUGGGGAAUAUUGCACAAUGGGCGAAAGCCUGAUGCAGCGACGCCGCGUGAGGGAUGACGGCCUUCGGGUUGUAAACCUCUUUCAGCAGGGAAGAAGCCACAAGUGACGGUACCUGCAGAAGAAGCGCCGGCUAACUACGUGCCAGCAGCCGCGGUAAUACGUAGGGCGCAAGCGUUGUCCGGAAUUAUUGGGCGUAAAGAGCUCGUAGGCGGUUUGUCGCGUCUGCUGUGAAAGCCCGGGGCUUAACCCCGGGUGUGCAGUGGGUACGGGCAGACUAGAGUGCAGUAGGGGAGACUGGAAUUCCUGGUGUAGCGGUGGAAUGCGCAGAUAUCAGGAGGAACACCGAUGGCGAAGGCAGGUCUCUGGGCUGUUACUGACGCUGAGGAGCGAAAGCAUGGGGGAGCGAACAGGAUUAGAUACCCUGGUAGUCCAUG